CACGUAGGGCGCAAGCGUUGUCCGGAAUUAUUGGGCGUAAAGAGCUCGUAGGCGGUCUGUUGCGUCCGCUGUGAAAACCCGGGGCUUAACCCCUGGCUUGCAGUGGAUACGGACAGACUAGAGGUAGGUAGGGGAGAAUGGAAUUCCCGGUGUAGCGGUGAAAUGCGCAGAUAUCGGGAGGAACACCAGUGGCGAAGGCGGCGACCUGGCCAAUCACUGACACUGAGACGCGAAAGCGUGGGGAGCAGACAGG
rnacentral:rRNA from 1 species